CCUACGGGGUGCAGCAGUGGGGAAUAUUGGACAAUGGGCGAAAGCCUGAUCCAGCCAUGCCGCGUGUGUGAAGAAGGCCUUCGGGUUGUAAAGCACUUUCAGUGGGGAAGAAAGCCUUGGGGCUAAUACCCUCGAGGAAGGACAUCACCCACAGAAGAAGCACCGGCUAACUCCGUGCCAGCAGCCGCGGUAAUACGGAGGGUGCGAGCGUUAAUCGGAAUUACUGGGCGUAAAGCGCGCGUAGGCGGUCUGAUAAGCCGGUUGUGAAAGCCCCGGGCUCAACCUGGGAACGGCAUCCGGAACUGUCAGGCUAGAGUGCAGGAGAGGAAGGUAGAAUUCCCGGUGUAGCGGUGAAAUGCGUAGAGAUCGGGAGGAAUACCAGUGGCGAAGGCGGCCUUCUGGACUGACACUGACGCUGAGGUGCGAAAGCGUGGGUAGCAAAUAGGAUUAGAUACCCGAGUAGUC
rnacentral:rRNA from 1 species